AGAGUUUGAUCAUGGCUCAGAACGAACGCUGGCGGCAUGCCUAACACAUGCAAGUCGUGCGAGAACUAGGGGCUUGCUCCUAGUGAAAGCGGCGCACGGGUGAGUAACGCGUGGGUAACGUACCCAAGGGUUGAGGAUAACCUGCCGAAAGGCGGGCUAAUACUCAAUAUCCUUAUAGGAAGCGAGCUUCUUAUAGGGAAAGCUAGCAAUAGCGCCCAUGGAUCGGCCCGCGUCCUAUCAGUUUGUUGGUGAGGUAAUGGCUUACCAAGACUAUGACGGGUAACUGGUCUGAGAGGACGACCAGUCACACUGGGACUGAGACACGGCCCAGACUCCUACGGGAGGCAGCAGUGGGGAAUAUUGGACAAUGGGCGAAAGCCUGAUCCAGCAAUGCCGCGUGGGUGAUGAAGGCCUUCGGGUUGUAAAGCCCUGUCGGCGGGAACGAAAAAAUCGGUGUUGAGCCGAUCUUGACGGUACCCGCAAAGGAAGCACCGGCUAACUCUGUGCCAGCAGCCGCGGUAAUACAGAGGGUGCAAGCGUUGUUCGGAAUUACUGGGCGUAAAGCGCAUGUAGGCGGUCUAGUUAGUCAGAUGUGAAAUCCCUGGGCUUAACCCAGGAACUGCAUCUGAUACUGCUAGACUUGAGUGUCGGAGGGGAUGGCGGAAUUCCUGGUGUAGAGGUGAAAUUCGUAGAUAUCAGGAGGAACACCUGUGGCGAAGGCGGCCAUCUGGAAGACAACUGACGCUGAGAUGCGAAAGCGUGGGGAGCAAACAGGAUUAGAUACCCUAGUAGUCC
rnacentral:rRNA from 1 species